rnacentral:rRNA from 1 species
UACGGGGGGGGCAAGCGUUGUUCGGAAUUACUGGGCGUAAAGGGCUCGUAGGCGGCCAACUAAGUCAUACGUGAAAUCCCUCGGCUUAACCGGGGAACUGCGUCUGAUACUGGAUGGCUUGAGUUCGGGAGAGGGAUGCGGAAUUCCAGGUGUAGCGGUGAAAUGCGUAGAUAUCUGGAGGAACACCGGUGGCGAAGGCGGGUCUCUGGGCCGAUACUGACGCUGAGGAGCGAAAGCAUGGGGAGCGAACAGG